rnacentral:sRNA from 1 species
GCACCUGCAAAAUCAGGUGCCAGGAUUGGUCCCCUGAUUACCUCAUUCGCGAUAAAAUUCACUUUUGU